CAGUCGCCGCGGGAAUACGAAGGGGGCUGGCGUUGUUCGGAUUUACUGGGCGUAAAGCGCACGUAGGCGGAAAUUUAAGUCAGGGGUGAAAUCCCGAGGCUCAACCUCGGAACUGCCUUUGAUACUGGGUUUCUUGAGUCCGGAAGAGGUGAGUGGAACUGCGAGUGUAGAGGUGAAAUUCGUAGAUAUUCGCAAGAACACCAGUGGCGAAGGCGGCUCACUGGUCCGGAACUGACGCUGAGGUGCGAAAGCGUGGGGAGCAAACAGGAUUAGAUACCCCUGUAGUCCCUGUCUCUUAUAC
rnacentral:rRNA from 1 species